CGUGUAGGCGGGGAAAGUAAAGUCAGAUGUGAAAUAACCAUGGCUCAACUGUGGUGCUGCAUCUGAAACUAUGUCUCUUGAGUGAUGGAGAGGAAAGUGGAAUUCCUAGUGUAGCGGUGAAAUGCGUAGAUAUUAGGAGGAACACCAGUGGCGAAGGCGACUUUCUGGACAUUAACUGACGCUGAGGCGCGAAAGCGUGGGGAGCAAACAGGAUUAGAUACCCUGGUAGUCCACGCUGUAAACGAUGGAUACUAGGUGUAGGGGGUAUCGACCCCUUCUGUGCCGGAGUUAACACAAUAAAUAUCCCACCUGGGGAGUACGGCCGCAAGGUUGAA
rnacentral:rRNA from 1 species